UACGAAGGGGGCUAGCGUUGCUCGGAAUCACUGGGCGUAAAGGGUGCGUAGGCGGCCUGAUCAGUCGGGGGUGAAAGCCUGUGGCUCAACCACAGAAUGGACUUCGAUACUGUCGGGCUUGAGACCGGAAGAGGUAAGUGGAACUGCGAGUGUAGAGGUGAAAUUCGUAGAUAUUCGCAAGAACACCAGUGGCGAAGGCGGCUUACUGGUCCGGAUCUGACGCUGAGGCGCGAAAGCGUGGGGAGCAAACAGG
rnacentral:rRNA from 1 species